UACAGAGGGUGCAAGCGUUGCUCGGAAUUACUGGGCGUAAAGCGCACGUAGGCGGCUUUCUAAGUCGGAGGUGAAAUCCUGGAGCUCAACUCCAGAACUGCCUUCGAUACUGGAGAGCUUGAGUCCGGGAGAGGUGAGUGGAACUGCGAGUGUAGAGGUGAAAUUCGUAGUUAUUCGCAAGAACACCAGUGGCGAAGGCGGCUCACUGGCCCGGUACUGACGCUGAGGUGCGAAAGCGUGGGGAGCAAACAGG
rnacentral:rRNA from 1 species